rnacentral:rRNA from 1 species
ACAAACCGGAGGAAGGUGGGGAUGACGUCAAAUCAUCAUGCCCCUUAUGACCUGGGCUACACACGUGCUACAAUGGAUGGUACAGAGGGCAGCAAGACCGCGAGGUGGAGCAAAUCCCUUAAAACCAUUCUCAGUUCGGAUUGCAGGCUGCAACUCGCCUGCAUGAAGCCGGAAUCGCUAGUAAUCGCGGAUCAGCAUGCCGCGGUGAAUACGUUCCCGGGCCUUGUACACACCGCCCGUCACACCACGAGAGUUUGUAACACCCGAAGUCGGUGGGGUAACCAUAUGGAGCCAGCCGCCGAAGGUGGGACAGAUGAUUGGGGUGAAGUCGUAACAAGGUAGCCGUAUCGGAAGGUGCGGCUGGAUCACCUCCUUUCUAAGGAA